AUGGAACAGUCGAAAAAAAACAAUUCACAGAAAAGCGACGAUUUAGAAAUUGACUAUAAACUUAAAUUACCCACCCGCAAUAUAAAUAAUUUAAACAUAAAUGACUUUGGUAGUGACACCAGUGACAACUCAGGUAACGAUAAUAAUAAUAAUAAUAAUAAUAAUAAUAAUAAUAAUAAUAAUAAUNNNNNNNNNNAUAAUAAUAAUAAUAAUAAUAAUAAUAAUAAUAAUAAUAAUAAUAAUGAAAAUAAUAAUGAAAAUAAUAAUGAAAAUAAUAAUAAUAAUAAUAAUAAUAAUAAUGAAAAUAAUAAUGAAAAUAAUAAUGAAAAUAAUAAUGAAAAUAUUGGUGAUCAUAAAAAAAAGAAAAAAAUUCUUUCUAAAAAUAUGAACGGGUCAUACCAUGAUAUAAAAAUAGUUUCAAAUAUUGAUAAAUCAGAGUAUUAUAAUGAUAAUAUUUCUAUACCUGAACAACAAAUAUUUAAAGAAAAUGGGAACUUAAAAUUUAAACAAAAAAUAAAUAAAAAUAAAAUGAAUGAAAAAAAAAAACAUAACCAAAGUAUAAAUGAUUAUGCUGAACCAUAUAAUAAUACAUUAAUUGAAAAAUUUAAACAACAACGAUUAAAAGCAAGACAAAAAUAUUGGACACCUUUAUGUUUAAUUAUAACUUAUUUAACUAUAUCGAUUACAUUUAUAAUCGUAGGAGUUAUGUUUAUUAUUUUAUCUACAACCAGAAAAGAAUGUAAAAUUCAAUACAAUGAACGCACAGAAAAAAAUAUUACAUUAACAAUUGAUGAAAAUUCAUGUAAGGGUCCUAAGAGACCAUUCAAAAGUAAUUCCUAUAUUUUUUACGAGUUACAUAAUUUUUAUCAAAACCAUAAAAAAUAUCUUAUGUCGAAAUCGCAUAAUCAAUUAAUGGGUAAAGUAUAUACUAAUCCAAGUAGUGUGUCCUUAUGUUACCCCUUAAUAAAUGACAAAGAUGGAAAAUUAUUACAUCCUUGUGGUUUAGUACCUAGAACUAUAUUUAACGAUACAUUUACUAUAUAUAGUGAUUCUGGUUAACAAAGAAAAUAGAAAUUGACGAAUCGAAAGAAGCAAUAACAUGGUUUAGCGAUUAUAAUAAAUUUAAAAAUCCUUCUAACGAAGAAAUAAAA
rnacentral:lncRNA from 1 species